rnacentral:scRNA from 1 species
NNNNNCGUGUGCGUGUGCGUGCGCGUGCGGGUGUGCGUGGGCGCGCCAGCCCCCCCUUUCCCCUACACGUUGAUCUUAUUCGAUCGGCCGGGCCGGGCCGGGCCGAGGUGAGAAAAAUGGCGCCGCGAAGCCCGCGGGCGGUGUGCGGCGGCCGGCGGCGGGCGGGAUGAGUCGAUCAGAUAGGCGAGGCCGCGGCCGCUGAGCGCCCUGCGAUUCUGACCCGC